rnacentral:lncRNA from 1 species
GCACUGCUACAGCCAACUUUUCACACUUCAGUUGAUGGUUACUCCCCCUGUACCACACAGCUGUAGCCAUCAGGCUUAUUCUGGUUUAUCAGACUGAGCCACAACACCCUCAUAAUUCCUAAUGACUUUAAGAUUCAGAAGGAAUUAACAGCAAUAUCCAGGGCAAUGUCAUGACAUCCGGUCAGACAUUCUUCUACUCACUCAGCCUUGACAUAUAUCACAGCAUCCUGAUAACUACCUAGUCAUCUGAGAACACAUAGACCACAAGCUUGGUGAUUGCUUG